rnacentral:rRNA from 1 species
UACGUAGGGUGCAAGCGUUGUCCGGAAUUAUUGGGCGUAAAGAGCUCGUAGGCGGUCUGUCGCGUCGGCUGCGAAAACCCGAGGCUCAACCUCGGGCCUGCAGUCGAUACGGGCAAACUAGAGUACUGCAGGGGAGACUGGAAUUCCUGGUGUAGCGGUGAAAUGCGCAGAUAUCAGGAGGAACACCGGUGGCGAAGGCGGGUCUCUGGGCAGUAACUGACGCUGAUGCGCGAAAGCUAGGGGAGCAAACAGG